ensembl:processed_transcript D030028A08Rik RIKEN cDNA D030028A08 gene
AAGAAGCACGUGGAGGUUUGUUAAAGGUAGUGGGAGGCAUAGUUUUUGGCAAUAGCCAGCCAAGGAUACAGGGAACAGGUGCGGUGCCUGCACGCUGACUUCACGUGGUGGAUGUCUGGCUGAGAGAGAAGUAGGAAAUCCUAACAAAGCUCCUUCCAGCUUUGAUCUGCCUGGGGCAGCCCGUGGUGGAAGAUGACUCUGUAGCCCUGGUGUCUACCAGCAUCCAGAGUGGGAGCCCCAAGAGCCAUGUAGACAGGCACCCAGCACUGUGCCAGCUAUGUGGGAGUUGGCUGGCUCUGGGGACGAGCUGUUGGCAGUGCAGGUGGCUGGCGACAAGGAUGGAGUGUGAGGCCUCGAGACAGGAUGGCAGGCAGCACAGAAGCCUCGGCACUCAGCAGAACUGCGGUCCUGGCUGCUCUGAGGCUCCAUGGAGGUGGGGGAUGCGAGGAAUUCUUUCUGAAAGAGAGAUCUGACCAGAGAGAUGCUACAACUACAUGUAAGGUGGACAGAGUCCUUAGGCGGCGUUGGAAUUACUAUCCGAAGCAUGUGGUGAGACCUGAAUGGUACCUCCCCAAUAGACACCAGCAGUUCACUAUAAAUGGCUGGCUGAGUAACUGGGGUGCAGGAAGGAGAGGACUUGCCCCUUCUGUCUUCUCUUCUGCUAGCCUCAGACACCCUGAGUCAGGUGAGGGCCACUGCUCCCUUGAUGGAGACUACUGGAGGACUCGGAAUUUUCUGGGAGUGGAGUUACAGCUGGUUGAGAGCCACGUGAGUGCUGGGAAUCAACCUUGGGACCUCUGGAAAAAGCAGCAAGUCAACCACAACCCAUCGCUCAAGCCCCAUUGCUGGGCCUGGUGACAACGCAUGUCAGUCCUGCCUCAGCCCCCUGAAUGCAUGGUUACAGAUGUGCACCACAGCACCUGACUCAAGUUUUAAACGUUCAUUUUGAGCGCUCCUUCUCAUGGUCAUUUCCCUGUAAAUCAGCAGAGACACUGGGGAAUGGAGCAGUUUGACUCCCAUGGCUGCUGGAGUCUCCUUUACUGCCCCGUCUGUCUUGAGCAACACUAGGCUCUGUCUGUUCUUGUCUGCUUUUAGAGUGGGCUGAGUUGGUAACAUAAAGGAGCAACAGCUGAGUGGCGGUGAUGAUGCCUUUAAUCCCAGCCCUCAGGAGGCAGAGGUAGGCAGAUUUCUGAGUCUCAGGCCAGCCUGGACUAC